ensembl:lncRNA
GUCAGUGUUGUGUAGUACAGGUAAGAGUUGUAGAGUAUAUGUUAGAGUAAUAUAGUACAGGUAAAUGUUGUAUAGUAAAGGUAAGUGUUGUGUAGUACAGCUAAGAGUUGUAGAGUAUAUGUAAGAGUAAUACAGUACAGGUAAAUGUUGUAUAGGAAAGGUAAGUGUUGUGUAGUACAGGUAAGAGUUGUAGAGGAUAUGUAAGAGUAAUAAAGUACAGGUAAGUGUUGUAUAGUAAAAGUAGCCUAAGUGUUGUGUAGUACAGGUAAGAGUGGUAGAGUAUAUGUAAGUGUUAUAUAGUAAAGGUACAGGUAGCCUCAAUAGCCAUCUAAAUUAAACCUCAAAGGACACCAGACCACAAUUUUCAUCUACAGCAGUGCUUCCCAAACCUGUCCUGGAGCCCCCCACUACUACACGCCUGUUUCAUCUUAUCAGCUCACUUCUGGACAUUGUAAGAUCUGAAUUGAGUUUGUCCGAUAACAGUGAUGCACAUAAUGUGCAGUUGUGGGGCCUGCAGGACAAAUUUGGCGAGCACUGAACCAUAGCUUUCUCAGUAUAAGGCCAUUAGUCAUAUUAGAGGCUUGAGGUUCGGCCCUGAUGUACAAGACUUGGCCAUGGCUUCUGAGAUACCUGUGGUGGCUGUCACUUCCAGGAGUCCCUGUAACAGCCUAUGCUCGCUGAAGUCCCUGUCAAGGCCAUUGCCUCCCUGAGGUCCCUGUCUUAGCCAACGCUCCCUGAGGUCCCUGUGACGGCCAAUGCCGCUCGAGGUCUCCCCUGUCAUGGCCAAAGCUUCCUGAGGUCCCUGUCACAGGCUGAGCGCCUGAGGUCCCUUUCAUUACCGCCAUCCGAAUAUGCCUACUUCCCUACUAUAUUAUAAGCGAAAAGCAAUAUGUGAAAUUAGUAGUAGGUUCGUAUUCAUAGCAUUCAUGAAAAGUACGCUGACGGCCUACUACCUCUGACGAGAUUCUGUGCAGUGAAUAAGAGUGAAGCAACGUAACCCACGCCAUAGGUCACAUAACAGUACAUGUUGUAUGUCCAGAUUGCAUUCAUACAUAUUUAUACUUUACAGAACAUAAUUUUCUAAUGGUCAUGAAGUAAGCUUUGUCAUGAAGCAGCGCAUGUCAUGGCCACUGCCCCUGAUGUCUCUAGUUCUGGUCCAAGUGACAUUCUAUACACUUUGCACUCUCUGGAUUUUAGAAUGGUUGAAUCCUCUCAAACACCACACUACUAACCAGUAAUAUAUGCCAUUUCCCAGGUGAAGAAAAAUUACUAUAAAUGUACAUAAUGUUGCAUAAUGCACAUCAUUUCUACAUUUUACUUUUAAAGGUGGGGUAUCCAUUUUUUAAAAACGCUUUAGAAAACUGAAUCAGGCCGAGUACCAAAACAAACUUGUAGUCAAUCUGCAGUAAGGGGCGUGUCUACUCAUGAUGUGGAGGAGAGAGCGCUCAGUGCACAGGAUGGACAUUAGUCAAGCUGAGCAAUGACAAAAAGAUAAAAAAAACAAAAGGAAAACAUCUGCGAAACAAACGAAGGCUUACGAUAAGUCAAGAAGUAAGACCCGUGUAAAUUUCAGAUCAACUAAAGGAGCGGGAAGGCCUGCGAUCGGAUGCCGAGGUUGCUUUGUUUCUUCUCGAUAGGUGAGUAACAUUGGUUUUGCUUUGUUUCACAGAACUAAUAUAUGCUGGCUAUUGCUUGAAUAUGCUCGUGUGUCAUGUUCGCUUGUUUGUUCAUCUGCAAUCGUAUUGUCGUUCCCAUCAGCUAUGAUAAAGACACAUUCAUUUCCACACCCUAUCAGCCUGGAGCAUCUAAACCUCCUCCUGUUUCAAGCGUCAACUCACAAAGUGUGUCCGAAAAGUAAGAUAAUAUGUUUAAUACAGCAGAUUCCACCAUAAUCGUUGCCUGGGUUGUGUACGUAUGUGGGGGGCGGAGCUAUCAAAAUAGGGACGAGACCCUUUUGGGGUAGGGGCGUGAUUGUUUUGGUGAUUUGAAAUAUCAACAUUGGCUACCAGAAAUCACUUACCCCACCUUUAAUGUUAAAAUAUCCUUUUAUGCAUAAAACAGGUGUAAUACUUAAACUUUGCCUCAACUAUGUAAGAUCAGCAUAGUGAGUUGAUGUGGUUGUAGUUUUAUGGCUGCUGACAAUAUAGUGCAGACAAAGUGUUCAUGAGUUGUUACCUGUCCUUGAGCCACUGCUAGAAAACACAGUACAAGUGCCACAACCCAGGUCCCCCUCAGCGCCACAGCCCAGACAUCCCUCAGUGCUGCGGCUGCAGUACAGGCACCCCUCAGCGCUGCGGUGUCAGUCCAGGCACCCCUCAGUGCCGCGGCCACAGGUACCCCUCAGUGUGCAGGUAAAGCCCAAGCAGCCCUCAGUUCAGCUGGCACAUCCCAGGCCCCUUCAGUGCCAUGCCCGACCACGGGACCAUCUCAGUGCCAUGGCCAACAUACAGGUGCAUUCAGGGCAGUUGCUAAGUGGGGUUGUAGAGUACAGGUAAGGGUUGGGGAGUGCAGGUAAGAGUUGGAGACUAAAGGUAAGAGUUAUUGACUAAAAAUAAGAGUCAUAGACUAAACGUAAGAGUCCUAGACUAAAAGUAAGUGUUGUAGACUAAAGGUAAGAGUUAUAGACUAAAGUUAACAGUUACUGACUAAAGGUAAGAGGUGCAGACUAAAGGUAAGAGUUGUAGACUAUAGGUAAGUGUUGCAGACUAAAGGUAAGAGUUGUAGAGUACAGGUAAGUCCUGUGAAAUACAGGUAAGGUUUGUAGAGUACAGGUAAGAGUUGCAGACUAAAGGUAAGAGUUGCAGACUAAAGGUAAGAGUUAUUGACUAAAAAUAAGAGUCGUAGACUAAAGGGAAGAUUCGUAGACUAAAGGUCAGAUUCGCAG